rnacentral:rRNA from 1 species
CGCCAGACUCCUACGGGAGGCAGCAGUGGGGAAUAUUGCACAAUGGGGGGAACCCUGAUGCAGCGACGCCGCGUGGGUGAAGGAGCACCUCGGUGCGUAAAGCCCUAUCGGCAGGGAAGAAACAGACGGUACCUGACUAAGAAGCCCCGGCUAACUACGUGCCGGCAGCCGCGGGAAUACGUAGGGGGCAAGCGUUAUCCGGAUUCACUGGGUGUAAAGGGAGCGUAGACGGCGACGCAAGUCUGGAGUGAAAGCCCGGGGCCCAACCCCGGGACUGCUCUGGAAACUGCGUCGCUGGAGUACGGGAGGGGCAGGCGGAAUUCCUGGUGUAGCGGUGAAAUGCGUAGAUAUUAGGAGGAGCACCAGUGGCGAAGGCGGCCUGCUGGGCUUUUACUGACGCUGAGGCUCGAAAGUGUGGGGAGCAAACAGGAUUAGAUACCCGGGUACA